GAUGAACGCUGGCGGCGUGCCUAAUACAUGCAAGUCGAGCGAACAGACGAGGAGCUUGCUCCUCUGACGUUAGCGGCGGACGGGUGAGAAACACGUGGAUAACCUACCUAUAAGACUGGGAUAACUUCGGGAAACCGGAGCUAAUACCGGAUAAUAUAUUGAACCGCAUGGUUCAAUAGUGAAAGACGGUUUUGCUGUCACUUAUAGGUGGAUCCGCGCCGCAUUAGCUAGUUGGUAAGGUAACGGCUUACCAAGGCAACGAUGCGUAGCCGACCUGAGAGGGUGAUCGGCCACACUGGAACUGAGACACGGUCCAGACUCCUACGGGAGGCAGCAGUAGGGAAUCUUCCGCAAUGGGCGAAAGCCUGACGGAGCAACGCCGCGUGAGUGAUGAAGGUCUUCGGAUCGUAAAACUCUGUUAUUAGGGAAGAACAAAUGUGUAAGUAACUAUGCACGUCUUGACGGUACCUAAUCAGAAAGCCACGGCUAACUACGUG
rnacentral:rRNA from 1 species